GACGAACGCUGGCGGCGUGCCUAAUACAUGCAAGUCGAACGCAGUGGGGACGGGUGAUUAACACGUGGGUAACCUCCCAUCAGAGGGGAUAACACUUGGAAACAGGUGCUAAACCGAUAUCGAUGGAUCGACCCGCGGUGCAUUAGCUACUUGGUGAGGUAACGGCUCCCCAAGGCCACGAUGCAUACCUGACCUGAGAGGGUGAUCGGCCACACUGGGACUGAGACACUGCCCAGACUCCUCCGGGAUGCAGCAGUGGGGAAUCUUCGGCAAUGGACGAAAGUCUGACCUAUCAACGCCGCGUGAGUGAAGAAGGUUUUCGGAUCGUAAAACUCUGUUGUUAGAGAAGCGGUAUCUAACCAGAAAGCCACGGCUAAAUACGUGCCAGCCGCCGCGGUAAUUC
rnacentral:rRNA from 1 species